AAUGUUAUUUUUAAAUUUAAUUUUUUGUUGCUUUUUUAAUUUAAUUUUUUGUUUGUUUUGUUUUGUUUUUGUUUUUGUUAUUUUUUAGAUAGCAAAGAUUACCGUACCACAUUAAAUAUAAUAAGUAACAUUUAUAAAGCAUCUUUUACUGUUGUCUCACAGCACUAUAAGACCAUUAAUCUACUGGAACAGAUGAGUUUUAAAAAAGUUUAUUAAAAAGAAUAUUAGAGACUGCAUGGAAGCAUGAGCACCAAGUGUUAUGUGCAUGAUAUGUAACAUUUAACUUCUUUUAUAGCUUAAUUCUAAAAUCUGUAUGAAAGUAUGGUGAAGGCAAACCUCACCUGUAUAUGUAAAUCAGUUGGCCAUUGUUACUGAAUGAGUUAGCCAUUGUUACUGUGUUUUGUUAGCUAGUGCAGUAGUGUGUUGCACUGUGAGAGCACAGUAUAGAACUGGCCUGUGCAGUUAAGAGUAUUUAGCUUUCCUGUGUAGCUAAUGUUCCUCCAAUCCAGUUUACCGGAUGGACAAGUAAGAAAUAAAUGGAAAGAAGAAGGCAUUUUGCUUGUGUUAAUUUAAUUGUUUCAUCUGUGUUGAACCAAUGGGGUUGCAUACAUGACAGUACAUUCGCCAGUUGAUUCACAUGUUGUUGACCCACUAAUGGUACCUGCAGCGUUACAUGUGCAUGGUUCGCAGCCAUUCACAUUGCUCCCUUGUAAGUUGAAGAAUCCUGUAACACACUGAUCACACCGACGUCCU